GGCUCAGGAUGAACGCUGGCGGCGUGCCUAAUACAUGCAAGUCGAGCGAACAGAUAAGGAGCUUGCUCCUUUGACGUUAGCGGCGGACGGGUGAGUAACACGUGGAUAACCUACCUAUAAGACUGGGAUAACUUCGGGAA
rnacentral:rRNA from 1 species